UCAGGCAGACCCUCUCAUGCCACGUUUCUGCUUGUCAUUGUUACCAACACCAGGGCUGACCCAGGUCUGUCACAGUCACUGGCAGAUUCCAAAAGCUGCAGAUAACACCCCUGCCCCAAGACUGCAAAACAGAUGAAAGUCAGCUUAUACCUGACAGCAAGAAGAGAUGACAAAGAGGAAGAGCUGACACCAUGUGGCACAUGGGUCAGGCACACAAGCAGCCGGAGGCACCUGUCACCACCCAAUACCUGUAACCCACCUGUAACCCCAUUGCCGGGACAUUCCAACUUAAUGAUGUGGAAAGAGCCCCCUGGUGCAGUGUUGGCGGCGGCGCACAGUCGUGAGGAGUACAUGUGCAAGGGCCCGGAAGCCGUUGUUAUAGUACCUGGAGUAUCAUUGACCCUCAGAGGCUUCCUCACCUACCUUGUCUCUCCUCCCGGGGAAGAUUGGUCCAAGUGCCUGUCUCACAAAGUGUCCAGAGCAGCACCCCUCACAUGCAAGGCACUGGGGCAUCCUCUGUCUUGUCCCCGCCGGACGCUCCUAGUAAAUGUAGAUGAACAUUCAGGAACCGAGUUCAGAUCACAGCUGUCCUGCCCCGACGACCGGCUUCUCAUUUGUCUGAAAAGUUCCCAACGUUUCCAGCCUGGGCUGCAGAAUGGCUCCCACAAAGAAGGCUGGUAAGCAGAAAGGCUGUCGUGCCAUGGACACUCAGAACCGCGUCCGUGGAGUGGCUUUCCAGAAGCGUGCCCCUGGGCACUCAAAGAAUCCAGACAUUUGCCACGAAGGACACGGGCACUCCAGAGGUGAACACAAACACAGGCUCCGCAAAGCUGUCUGGGCUGAAGGAGUAGCGGGUGUCGCCUGCCGUAUCUGUGUGCAGUGGUCCAGAAUGCAACGCAGAUGAGGACUCACCAAACAAGCUCUGUAUGUUGGGUACCUCUGGGCCUGUCACCAUGUUCAAAAACCUACACAGUUAAUAUGGAUGAGAACUAACCACUGAUUUGUCAAGUAAAGAUAUAAACCCACAAAAGCAAUAUUAAUAAAAUAAAAAACAUAAAGCUCCCA
rnacentral:lncRNA from 1 species